rnacentral:rRNA from 1 species
GGAUGAACGCUAGCGGCAGGCCUAACACAUGCAAGUCGAGGGGUAACGGGGUGCUUGCACCGCCGACGACCGGCGCACGGGUGCGUAACGCGUAUACAAUCUACCUUGUACUAUUGGAUAGCCCAGAGAAAUUUGGAUUAAUACAAUAUAGUAUCAUAUUACGGCAUCGUAUUUAUGAUUAAAGGUUACGGUACAAGAUGAGUAUGCGUCCUAUUAGUUAGUUGGUGUGGUAACGGCACACCAAGACUACGAUAGGUAGGGGCCCUGAGAGGGGGAUCCCCCACACUGGUACUGAGACACGGACCAGACUCCUACGGGAGGCAGCAGUGAGGAAUAUUGGACAAUGGGCGAGAGCCUGAUCCAGCCAUGCCGCGUGCAGGAAGACUGCCCUAUGGGUUGUAAACUGCUUUUUUACGGGAAGAAACACCCCCUCGUGAGGGGGCUUGACGGUACCGUACGAAUAAGGAUCGGCUAACUCCGUGCCAGCAGCCGCGGUAAUACGGAGGAUCCAAGCGUUAUCCGGAAUCAUUGGGUUUAAAGGGUCCGUAGGCGGGCAGCUAAGUCAGUGGUGAAAGUCUGUAGCUCAACUAUAGAAUUGCCAUUGAUACUGGUUGUCUUGAAUUAUUAUGAAGUGGUUAGAAUAUGUAGUGUAGCGGUGAAAUGCAUAGAUAUUACAUAGAAUACCAAUUGCGAAGGCAGAUCACUAAUAAUAUAUUGACGCUGAUGGACGAAAGCGUGGGGAGCGAACAGGAUUAGAUACCCUGGUAGUCCACGCCGUAAACGAUGGAUACUAGCUGUUCGAUCUUCGGAUUGAGUGGCUAAGCGAAAGUGAUA